GGGUGCGAUCAUACCAGCGUUAAUGCACCGGAUCCCAUCAGAACUCCGCAGUUCAGCGUGCUUGGGCUAGAGUAGUACUGGGAUGGGUGACCUCCCGGGAAGUCCUAGUGUUGCACCCU
rfam:Picea glauca, whole genome shotgun sequence.